AAGCCAGUUGCCUACUACAUCCUCAGACAGGAACUGCGAAAUCUGCUAGCGAAGCAUAAAAACGCAAAGAUAAUUGUAACCGGGCAUAGCCUUGGUGGUGCACUUUCAGCUGUCUUCCCCGCUCUGCUCUCAUACCAUAACCAAAAUGACAUCCUCAACUCCAUGCACAGCGUGAUGAACUACGGACAGCCCCGGGUUGGAGAUGCCAUCUUCAAAAGCUACGUCAAUGUGUUGAUGCGCGUCAAGUACCAACGCAUGGUUUACCGAUACGAUAUCGUCCCCAGGAUCCCGUUCGACCUCCCGCCCCUCUCAAACUUCACGCACUGCGGCAAAUGCAUCUACUUUGAUGGAUGGUACAAAGGAAAGGUAUGCCAUAUGAUCAUAUCCCAGCAUUCACGCUUGCAGCAGUUCAUGACAUCGCUAAUAUAUAUACUGUUAAUUAGUCAUCGACUUCAUUGGCUUCUAUGAAUCAAUUACAUAUUCUUGAAAUAACAACGAUUUCAUGUGUUCUCUUUGGUGGCUGCAGGUGGUCGAUGAAGUCCCCAACCCCAACUACUUUCUUGAACCCCUGUCUGUCCCGAGGAUGUAUUUGACGGCAUGGGGUGACCUCUUCAGAGCUUUCUUCAUAGGAUACACAGCGGGAAAAGACUUCAAGGAGGGGAUAGCGUCCAUCCUCUACAGGCUCACUGGUCUUGU
rnacentral:lncRNA from 1 species